AGAUAAGAUAAGCACUGAAACGUUAACUAAACUCGAGUCGAGUAUAGACACAUUCAGUGAAUGAAGUUGAGUGUUACCACUGUUGCACCAUUUGUGACGGCACCGCCUCAACCAACCAAUCAUUGCUUCGAUAAACUCUCCACCUGCAGUCAAUAUGAUCUAGCUACGGUAUGUGCUCGCCUAUACCGCACAUGGGGCUUAGAAAACUGUCAGAAGACUUGCAAUCUCUGAACAAACACAUGUCUCUACGCAGGAAACUAUUACAGAGAGGGCGAGCAGUGGCAAGAUUGCUGCACAUACAAUUGUUCAUGCAAGGACGGGAACCGUGAUUACUUUGAAGGCGAGGCACUGCCCUGUUUUGACUGUGAACCACACGUGUCGCAGGUGGGCGAGUACAAAAAAAGCAUUUACUAAGUCAAGAUAUGUAUAUGCCUACACGUCGAACUACCAAAGGGGUCGAGUUUGAAAUGAACGACCCCAGGCGGUGAUCCCUGUUCUAAUAGAUCUUUGUCAAGGUACAUGUUUCCGAAUUAUUAACGGUCGUAUAGGUAAUACUGAUCAAUAUACAUUUAUGUCCAAUAAUGGUUGUUCAGUUAUUGAUUAUUUGUUAACAAAAGAAUGUAAUUUCUCCCAGAUUAAGUCAUUUACAAUAUGUCAAUCCAAUGAAUGGAGUGAUCACGCUCCACUGCAUUUUUCGCUGAACUGUAAUAACAUUCCCCGUGGUGGUUCAUACUAUUUAGAGACUAGGUAUAAAUGGGAUUCUACGUUUAGAGAGCAGUUCCGAAUUAUUUCUCAAUUGCCUUUGUUUAAUAGCAUUGUUAAUACUACAGAUAAUUUAAGCAGGGAUUCGGUGAACAAUAUGUUACAUUUAUUUACAAACAGUAUUCGUGAUAUAGCUGACCCUUUGUUUUCGAAUGAGAGUAUUUUUAAAGAUAAUGUUGCUUUUGAAAAUUAUUCUAGUAAAAAUAAGGAGUGGUUUGACAGUGAAUGUAUAGAUGCCCGUAAUUUAUAUUUAGAUGCACUUCGAUGCUUCAACACUGAUAAAACGAAUAGUAACAGAAUAGUUUUAUGUUAGAGAAAAAAAGUGUAUAAAAAUAUUGUCAGAAAGAAAAAAAAUUGUGAUUACAAACGAAAAAUGGAUUAAAUUACAGAAUUAAUGAAAAGUAAACCAAGGGAAUUUUGGAAACAUUUCAAGUCAAAAACCUAUAGAUCUAAUAAUAUACCGUUAGCGGAAUUUACAGAUUAUUUUUCGAAGAUUAGCUCGGAUAAUUUGGGUGCAUCGAAUUAAGAAGCGGAAAGUUUUAAUUGUUGUAAUGAUUUUAAUCUUCCUAAUAAUGUAUAUCCUGAACUAGAUGAACCGAUAACGGUACAUGAAAUAACAACUGCUGUAAAAUCACUUAAACGAUUUAAAGCUUAUGGAAGUGACAACAUUUUAAAUGAAUAUUUUAUAGAAUCUUUUGACAUGUUGUCAUCUCAUUUUGUGAUUUAUUUAACAAUAUACUAAAUUCCGGUUUUUUUCCGGACCAGUGGACGUAAGGUAUUAUCAUCCCCCUUCAUAAGAAAGGUUCCAAAUCCGAUGUUAAUAAUUACAGAGGUAUAUCGUUAGUGAGCUGUUUGUCAAAAUUAUUCACGACUGUUAUAAAUAAACGUGUUGAAAAUAUCUGUACAAAACAUAACAUCAUUUCGGACGCCCAAUUCGGAUUUCGGAAAGGACGAUCCACUACUGACGCAAUAUUUAUUUUAUAUUCUUUGAUAAAUCAUUAUUUAUUUGAAAACAAACGUUUGUAUCUUAUUUGUGUCGAUAUGAUGAAAUGCUUUGAUACUAUUUAUAGAAAUGCCUUAUGGUUAAAAAUGUUUAAAUGUGGAAUUCAAGGCAAAAUAUUAAGAAUUGUGAGAGAUAUGUACCAAAUAGUUAAGUCAUGUGUAAAAUCAUUAUCUUCAUUUUCAGAUUUCUUUAGCUAUGCUGUUGGCUUGCGUCAAGGAUCAGUUAUGUCACCUUUGUUGUUUUCUAUCUUUGUAGAUGAUCUUGAGUUGUUUUUGCAAAAUAAUGUUGAUUCAGGUUUGCAACUAGAUGACAUUUUUUUUAAUAUUAUUACUUUUUGCAGACGACAUGGCUAUUGUGGGUAAAUCACCAGAAGAAAUCCAGAACCAUUUAGAUAAUUUAUAUACUUAUUGUAAUACAUGGGGACUGAAAGUAAAUAUUGAUAAGACAAAGAUAAUGGUUUUUCGAAAAAGAGGCGGAUUAUUGCAAAAUGAAAAGUGGACAUACAAUGGCCAUGCUAUAGAAACUGUAAAUGAUUGUAAUUAUUUACGUGUUGUUUUUAAUUAUACAGGUAGUUUUAAUUUAAAUCAAGAACAUUUAAUUGGCAAAGCUCUUAAAGCAUUGAAUACAUUGUUUUGUAAAUGUCAAGAUUUUGAUUUAAAGCCAAAAUUCUAUGUCAGUUAUUUGAUGCAUUUGUUCAGUCUAUUUUAGGUUAUUCAGCAGAAGUUUGGCGUUUUACGAAAUCUAAGGAAUCGGAAAGGAUACAUCUGAAAUUCUGUAAAAGGCUUUUAAGAGUUAAAACUAAUACCUGUAAUGCAUGUGUUUAUGGUGAGUUAGGAAGAUAUCCUCUCUAUAUACAAAGAUACAUGCGAAUCGUACAGUAUUGGUUUAAAAUAGCAGCCUCUGAUAACAUAAUUAUCAAAACUGUAUACAACAUUGGAGUUUCUGAUAACACCAGAGGUUGCCGAAAUUGGAUUUAUAACAUCAAAAAAUUAUUGGAUGAUUACGGAUUCAGUUAUGUCUUUAACAGCGUUCAUGCUAUUGAUGUUAAAUUGUUUAAACCCAUUCUAAAAUCCAGAAUUAUUGAUUCAUAUAAACAAAAGUGGCAUCGUACACUACAAGAUGGUUCAAUGUUAGAUAUUUAUAGAUAUUUAAGUCAAACUUUGAAUAUGAGAUUAACCUAGACUUAGUUCCGAAACAUUUAAGGUUUUAUAUAUGCAAAUUAAGAUUAUCUGUUCACCCCCUUCGUAUACAGACUGGUAGAUAUAAUGGAAACAAUAUUGCUAGACAAGAAAGAUAUUGUCUUUGUUGUCAUGCCACGGACAUCGAGGACGAAUUUCAUUUUGUAUGUAUUUGUUCAACAUUUGUUGAUAUAAGAAAGAAAUACAUUAAAAAGUUUUACUAUAAUAAUCCAUCUGUUAUGAAGUAUGUACAAUUGCUUCAAUCAAACAAUAGGUCUAAACUAAUAAAAGUUUGUUUAUUUGUUAAGGAAUCGUUGAGUUUUAGAUUGACUUUGUUAAAUCGUAUAACGUAAUUUUCAAAUUGUUUAUCCUCUGUACUUCUGUAUAUAUUUGUUUUGUAAAUAUACAUGUUUGUUAACACAUGUUUUUUGCGCAUAUACAUGUUGACAUAUAUCAAUACCAACCACAUGUGAUGUUGACGAUGUACAUUGUGCAAGUCAAAUAAAUUGUCUGUCUGUA